CCUACGGGUGGCAGCAGUGGGGAAUAUUGCACAAUGGGGGAAACCCUGAUGCAGCAACGCCGCGUGAGUGAAGAAGUAUUUCGGCAUGUAAAGCUCUAUCAGCAGGGAAGAAGAUGACGGUACCUGUGUAAGAAGCCCCGGCUAACUACGUGCCAGCAGCCGCGGUAAUACGUAGGGGGCAAGCGUUAUCCGGAUUUCCUGGGUGUAAAGGGAGCGCAGACGGUGAGACAAGUCUGAAGUGAAAGCCCGGGGCUCAACCCCGGGACUGCUUUGGAAACUGCCUGACUGGAGGGCUGGAGAGGCAAGCGGAAUUCCUAGUGUAGCGGUGAAAUGCGGAGAUAUUAGGAAGAACACCAGUGGCGAAGGCGGCUUGCUGGACAGUAACUGACGUUGAGGCUCGAAAGCGUGGGGAGCAAACAGGAUUAGAUACCCUUGUAGUC
rnacentral:rRNA from 1 species